GCCUCCUUAGCUCAGGGUAGAGCGUUUCUCUCGUAAAGAAAAGGCCGUGGGUUCGAAUCCCACAGGGGGCU
rnacentral:tRNA from 1 species